GCCUUUGUGGUGUAACGGUAGCACACUUGGCGCGUAUCCGAAAUGUCCAGGUUCGAGUCCCGGCAAAGGCA
rnacentral:tRNA from 1 species